UAACUCAGGGAAACUUGAGCUAAUACCAUAUAAUGUCUUCGGACCAAAGAUUUAUCGCCCUGAGAUAAGCCCGCGUAGGAUUAGCUAGUUGGUGGGGUAAAGGCUCACCAAGGCGACGAUCCUUAGCUGGUCUGAGAGGAUGAUCAGCCACACUGGGACUGAGACACGGCCCAGACUCCUACGGGAGGCAGCAGUGGGGGAAUAUUGGACAAUGGGCGAAAGCCUGAUCCAGCAAUGCCGCGUGAGUGAUGAAGGCCUUCGGGUUGUAAAGCUCUUUUACUCGGGACGAUAAUGACGGUACCGAGAGAAUAAGCCCCGGCUAACUCCGUG
rnacentral:rRNA from 1 species